CAUGGGGAGCAAGUGCACAGUGACUCUUGUUGCUGAUUUAACAAUUGACACUCUUAUUUAUGAUGUCAGUAAUCACCCGGAGUCUUGAUGAUAUUGUGGGACUGAUGGGUCCAGGUUCUUGUCUGUGACACAUGAAAGAAUGAGACAUAAAGGUUAGCAAAGUCAAAGUACACACUCAAGAGGGAGCAUAUGCCUGCUCCAGAGUGAACUGUAGCCCACCAGGUCUGGGUUCAUCUGUGUCUGUGAUCUAAAGGCACAGGGCGUGGUGCUUCGGGUGGAGUUUUCCAGGAAAGGAUGGAGAUUUCCAGGAAUUCGGUGACUUACCAUUUUCUGGCCUUUUCAGCACAAGACAGAGCAAGGAAAGAGGCCAGGCAUGCAAAGAAGAAAUAAAGGGAGAAAUCAGAACACUGAACCAUUUGGAAGAAAGGUGCUCUCAAAUCUUAUGACCCUGUAAGGAAAACUGGAUUGGAAGCUGAGUAUCCAGGACUUGAACCAGACUCUUCCAUAUGGGAAGCGGAAGUCCCAAGCAAGAAGUGAUUUAACCCACUGCACCAAACAUCCUCCUCCUCUUCCAGUAUAUGUGUUGGAAUAUCUGUUGAAGAGUUAUUUUUGGUAAUGCCAAAAAACUCACAUAUCAUAAACAGCCCAUGUGUUUAGAAGAGCAUCACAGUUUCACUACUAAGUUAAAAUGGAAUCCUGAGUACAGAUGGCAAUUAGGAAACUCAGGACCUAGCAUGCUGCACCACACUAUCUGGGAACAAGAAGGAAAGCUAUUGCUGCAUCCAGUAAAAUCAAACCCUAAGCCUGAUACCAGAUCACUAGAGUCUUCUCUUGAAGGGGCAAUAGAAACCAGUGUCCCCAACUCCAGUCCUCUGAUCGACUUUUCCCUUGGGGAGCCCUCACUUUUUCUGCUAUCAACACUCUGCUGGCCUCUGGGAUCACAACUUCUUGAACUCUUCAUUACAAUUUUUUGUAGAAAACUGCGAAGAACCUGGAUAUUUAAAGAAGACUUUCACUGAAACACUUAUUAAUAAUAUCAAACUGAUAAAAAAAAGAAACCCAGACAUAAAUUUACAAUGACUUGGGAACACCUUCAGCGAUUCUUGCUUCUCAGUUCUUAACCUGCUUCUACAAUGUAGAUGGCAUCUUCCUUCACAACCUAGACAGCAACCUCAGCGUAGAUUCAUCAGAGACAUUUCAGUUACCUUUCACAGCUGAAGGCUGCUUCACAUGUUUUUAACAGCUGUCAGAAAUAUUGCUUCAUUUCACAAAGACACUGGAAGAGCAUAGCAUGAACGGCAAGUACUCAGCACAUGGGUCAGUCUGGCUCACAAAUGUCCUUGGCUUAAACCACAAAAAGCUGCAAGUAGCAACUUAGCUGAAGACAAUGAGUUCAACCUGGAGUUCAACUGCUCAGGAAUGCUCGCCUCUGGCCUGCCUACAAAAGUAUGCCUGAACAUCUCCACCUCACUCUAUUCUCUCUAACCAUUCGUCUUCAGACUCUUGGGGGUGGCUUGUAAAGUUGCUUUAGUAGAAAACAGUAAUAAACAACUUAUGAGAAGAUUUUUCUUUCACCUAUAACUAUAGUACUUUAUCAGAAAUAGUGUUCUGCAGUUUAUGGUUUUCAUAG